CCUGCUCUGCCGUGCUGCCGCUGCAGUCGAAGAUGGCGUCCCGCAAAAAUGGAGUUGACUCCGAAAUGGCCCUUCUUAGCGAAGAACAGCUGGAUGGGAGGCUGUCGCCGGAUCUAUGGCCCGAACCGAUGCCCGGAGUAAUGGAAUUUGCUGCGCUCCUUUCGCCUGCAUAUACAAGGAGCCCAAACCAAAGUGGUC